AUUGAAUGGUAGCCCCAGCUCUAGAAAGGAGAUAUUCACUUUUGAUCUGAUCGCGUGUGUCAAAGUUAUGUGAAAAUAAGUGCAAUUAGUGACGCGAAGCUGGAAGAGUUUUUAAAAGAAUAUGAACUGGAAGAUGUUCGGGAUCACCUCGAAACUAAGGAAAAUUUGAAGGAAGCCGUUCCACCUUUGGGUCCUAGGUUAAGAUUUCGAGAGAAGCUGCUGUCUUGGAGAAAAUAAAUACUUGGACCAGAUAUUGAAUCGCAGUUGCGUCUCACAAACAUAACCAAAUCGCUGAAGACGCCGCCUAGGCAAAAGCUUGGGCACUUUAUUGACGGAGACCAAUAGAGGAAAAGCUAUUUUGGAUCAAGGAAUAAAACAGAUGUCUUUAAGCCUGGAUAUGAAGAACGAUCUUAUAAGCAUUAUCCUUGAGGAAAUCGUCUCAACAGGGAUAACUAUCAAAUAUUCCGAUUUUAGUCUGCUGCUGGACGAAAUUUGCUUUUACUUACCUGGCGAAGAGAAAUGCAAGGAUUAAUACUUCAUUUCCCGAGACGGUAAAAAAAAUCGUAUCGCACUUUCGCUAAAGCUUUCUGUUAAUAGAGAUGGUGACAAUUGGGACUUAGUGUGCGAGAAAUGGAAGAACCCUUCCAUCUUCGCCAACAAGAGGUCAAACAACUUGACAGCUAAGAGUUUUUCGCUGUCUGGUCAAAAUUCGCCCAAGCCCAGUCAACUGAAUUGAUUGAAAUUGAUUUUGAAAUGAUGUACCCGAGGAGAAGCUCGUUUUUGUUUUCGAAAUGGGAGACGUUCAAAAAUAAAGUCUUCAAUUUCUAUGACUACAACAUUUCAAAGGAAUCUUGUAAAGGGCUGCUUAAACAAGCAAAAUUAUGAAAGAAAAUUGAUUUCCAGGAUUACUUGAUCAGCAUUCAUCUGUGCGCGGUUUUACCAUCGACUGCGCGCUUGUACAUAUAUGAAAAAAUCAUUCAAGAAUUCAUAUCCCUUUUAAUUCAUGUCUAUACUUAAAAUAAUUCUAAGUCCUAUAUAAGGCUGAUGUAUGUCUAACAUAUAGCGCAAGUUGCAAAACUGUAUGUAUUAUUUCCUUUUUAAGUUUCCAGUAUUAUACAACAAUAGGAAUCAACAAACUCAAUGAUGCGAUACAUU